rnacentral:ncRNA from 1 species
GCAGGGACCGAUGAAAAGGGAAUCCGGUGAGAAUCCGGAACGAUGCCGUCACUGUGUCAGGGAGUUUUCAUGCAAGGAUCACUGGGAAACCGGGAAGAGCAUGAAGGCGUUGAUCGAAGUCAGGAGACCUGCCUGUUUGUGA